UGCGGGGUAGAGUAGUCUGGUCACUCGAUAGGCUCAUAACCUAUACACGUGGGUUCGAAUCCCACCUCCGCCUCCA
rnacentral:tRNA from 1 species